rnacentral:rRNA from 1 species
ACGGGAGGCAGCAGUGGGGAAUAUUGCACAAUGGGGGAAACCCUGAUGCAGCGACGCCGCGUGAGCGAUGAAGUAUUUCGGUAUGUAAAGCUCUAUCAGCAGGGAAGAUAAUGACGGUACCUGACUAAGAAGCCCCGGCUAACUACGUGCCAGCAGCCGCGGUAAUACGUAGGGGGCAAGCGUUAUCCGGAUUUACUGGGUGUAAAGGGAGCGCAGGCGGUUUUUUAAGUCUGAUGUGAAAGCCCGUGGCUCAACUGCGGGACUGCAUUGGAAACUGGAGAACUAGAGUGUCGGAGGGGCAAGUGGAAUUCCUAGUGUAGCGGUGAAAUGCGUAGAUAUUAGGAGGAACACCAGUGGCGAAGGCGGCUUACUGGACGAUUACUGACGCUGAGGCUCGAAAGCGUGGGGAGCAAACAGGAUUAGAUACCCUGGUA